CAAUUAUGCAAAUCAGGCGAUGAUGUCAUUAAGCAACUUUCAGGACAGCCAAUAGCUGCUUUCCUUACUGAGGCGUUGGAAACCUGGAAGACCUGGACCCUCCUGUGCGGCCCGGGUCUCCUCGCUGUGUCGCUCGUGGAAAUGAUGGUGAACGACGCGGAGCUGCUGUCAUUCGCUCAGAGCGGCGAACAGGCGGGCAGCAGAGUAAUGAGUUCAGCCUGCAGCGGUGGCGCAGCGAGUAAAUAUUAGUGCAAUAUUAGUGCAGUUCAUGAAUCCAAUCAGCUGUUCCCUUCAAUUAAGAGGGAGAUGGUUUGAGUCCUGCUCUCUGAUUGGUCCGUUCUGCUGCUUGUGGUGCGGCCUAAUCUGGCGGCGCUCUCACACGAGCGUCACCUCUGCGUGGAGAUUGAUGAAGGAAGAACGCUUGAUGAUACAUUAAUCAGGCAGUGUCGACGGCGGGAGGGGCGGGGCUGUGAAAUGGGAGCUGUAAUGGAGAUGUUGGAGAUGAGAGGAGUCUUUGGCGAGGAGGGGGGAGGGGGCGGGGCUUGUUGCAGCAGAAUAAUGAAUGGGCUCAUUAGCAUAUUGUCACCGGUUGUCUUGUUUACUGUGAGGUGUUCGCCAAGCAGGCGUCCCCGAGGAGAAACGGGCGCACACACACACACACACACACACACACACACACACACACACACACACACACACACAGUAACGCUCGUCUUCACCCACCUGUCGACGGCUCUGAGUCAAUAUUUGGCGUUCAGACGGAGGUUCUGCAGAGUCACGUCGUUACUCUGCCAAUCAGAGAGAAGAAGACGAUCUUCAGUUUGACUCUCGACAAACAUCGGAAACUCUCACCUCCACCUGCCGAAACCUCGGAGAAAAGAUGUUUCUUCACCGUUUUCAUCACAUGACCAACACACUGAUGGUUAAAGGGUUAAAGGGAUAUUCUGACGUAAAAUUACUUUAGAGUCAAACCCACCGUAACACCGAGUUAGACCCCGCCCCCCUCCAGAGAUGAAUGUUGUCGACCGCUUGCUUCUCUAGUUAUACCAACUUUAGUAACGACCACAGGAUAUAAAUACAGAGAGCCACGCCCCCAACCAAAACGCCA